rnacentral:rRNA from 1 species
GACGAACGCUGGCGGCGUGCUUAACACAUGCAAGUCGAACGGAAAGGCCCUGCUUUUGUGGGGUGCUCGAGUGGCGAACGGGUGAGUAACACGUGAGUAACCUGCCCUUGACUUUGGGAUAACUUCAGGAAACUGGGGCUAAUACCGGAUAGGAGCUCCUGCUGCAUGGUGGGGGUUGGAAAGUUUCGGCGGUUGGGGAUGGACUCGCGGCUUAUCAGCUUGUUGGUGGGGUAGUGGCUUACCAAGGCUUUGACGGGUAGCCGGCCUGAGAGGGUGACCGGCUACAUUGGGACUGAGAUACGGCCCAGACUCCUACGGGAGGCAGCAGUGGGGAAUAUUGCACAAUGGGCGGAAGCCUGAUGCAGCAACGCCGCGUGCGGGAUGACGGCCUUCGGGUUGUAAACCGCUUUCGCCCGUGACGAAGCGUGAGUGACGGUAAUGGGUAAAGAAGCACCGGCUAACUACGUG